rnacentral:rRNA from 1 species
GACGAACCGUACGAACGUUAUUCGGAAUCACUGGGCGUAAAGGGCGCGUAGGCGGGAUGGCAAGUCGGUCGUGAAAUCCUUCGGCCCAACCGAAGAACGUCGGCCGAUACUGCCGUUCUUGAGGGAUGCAGAGGAGACUGGAAUUCCCGGUGUAGCGGUGAAAUGUGUAGAGAUCGGGAGGAACACCGGUGGCGAAGGCGGGUCUCUGGGCAUUUCCUGACGCUGAGGCGCGAAAGCGUGGGGAGCAAACAGG